rnacentral:misc_RNA from 1 species
GAAAUGCGAUAAGUAAUGUGAAUUGCAGAAUUCAGUGAAUCAUCGAAUCUUUGAACGCACAUUGCGCCCGCCAGUAUUCUGGCGGGCAUGCCUGUCCGAGCGUCAUUUCAACCAUCAAGCCCCCGGGCUUGUGUUGGGGACCUGCGGCUGCCGCAGGCCCUGAAAACCAGUGGCGGGCUCGCUGUCACACCGAGCGUAGUAGCAAUCACCUCGCUCAGGGCGUGCUGCGGGUUCCGGCCGUUAAACAGCCUUACAAAACCCAAGGUUGACCUCGGAUCAGGUAGGAAGACCCGCUGAACUUAAGC